rnacentral:misc_RNA from 1 species
AACGCACGAGACCUGCGGACCUGCGGAGGGAUCAUUACCGAGUUAUCCAACUCCCAACCCCUGUGAAUUAUACCUUUAAUUGUUGCUUCGGCGGGACUUCGCGCCCGCCGGGGACCCAAACCUUCUGAAUUCUUUAAUAAGUAUCUUCUGAGUGGUUAAAAAAAUGAAUCAAAACUUUCAACAAUGGAUCUCU